rnacentral:lncRNA from 1 species
UUACUCCCACAAGCUUUGCACCAUUACUACAAUAGCACAUCUUCCAGCAAUGCAGAAACCAGCGUGGCUCAGACGUAUGCGUUUCGAUGACCUUAACCUCAGAUGAGAUAGCAGAGCCCUCAGUGCCGGUGUGGAGAGUUCAGAGUGGAGACUCCAUCUGAGCUGGGUGCGCAGAGAUGUAAGAGAAUAAGCUUACGUUUUACAGUACCUCGGGUUGCGAUUUGACGUGCAGCUACAAUAAAUGAAUAUAAUUUUAAAC